rnacentral:tRNA from 1 species
GGGGAUCUAGCUCAGCGGCAUAAGCACCUGCCUUGCAAGCAGAUGUCGUAAGUUCGAUCCCCG